AAAAGUGUUUAUUUUACAUGAGGUUAGGGAUCCUAUUUAACACGAGGGUAGGGAUCCUAUUUUACACGAGGGUAGGGAUCCUAUUUUACACGAGGGAAGGGAUCCUAUUUUACACGAGGGUAUGGAUCCUAUUUUACACAAGGGAAGGGAUCCUUUUUUACACGAGGGUAGGGAUCUUAUUUUACACGAGGACCUGUGCAGAUAAUCCGUGAUAUAUCUGCAGUCACGCUGUUAAAACAGUACUGGACAGAAAUAAAACACGACCAAAUAUACCUAUAUCAGUCUGGAUUAGGAUUUGUUUGAUAGUUUGAGCUGACAUGAGGAGAAGCCAGGUAGCAGGGAAAGACUGGUUUCUGAUUAUAUGAAAAGUACCUCCUCUCUCUCUCUCUCUGAUCCAAGGAAACAUCAAAAUAUCAAUCUUCUAUCUCUCGCUCUCUCCAAAUUUAUUUAGCUUCUGCCAUGGAUAAUGAUAGUUCGGUUAACUUUACUUGAAAUGCGGAACGGGUUAAAAAUAAAUGACGUCGUACUCACGACGUCAAAUACGAAAAACAAGGCAAUUUUCGGUAAAAUUUUCAAAAAAUAAAGUUAAAAUAUCAAAAAAUCUAGCGAGACCACAUAUAAUUUUUUUACAUUAAUUUAUUUUAAAUCACUUUUUCUUUACGCACAGAAACAGUUGAUAAAUUUGUCUAAAUUGUUUAAAAGUUACUUACAAUUUUUCAAAAAAACUCAAUCUCACAAAUUGCUUAUUUUCCUAUGUAAUCAUUAAAAAAGCGUCAAAACAGCACCAUCAACAAUACCAAGUUCAAGGCGGUAUUGCAUAAAAUUGGCGUAGGCAAAUUUGAUUAAUAUUUUAUAUAAUAAACUGUAAAUACUACAGAACGAUUUGACAAAUUUUCAGGGUAUGUUUUCUCGUGAGAUUUUUUAUGGGGUAAACCCGCGACCCACCUUAAAACUGAUACUUAUCUCAAAAUUUGGUCCAGACAUUUUGGCUAUUUGCAGUUAUGAGGUUUUUCGAUGUAGUAGGAAAGACUUUAGUUAAAGAAAUCCAGUUUUGUAAAAUGUGGUAACCCAGGCACCAUAUUGUUUUCUAAUCGGCAAUGAUAAAAAGCGUAGUUCCAGCAUUCGGCGACGAAUUCUCUCGCAAGAGGUCGUGCGUCGCAAGCGAUGAAGCAUCAAAAAUAAAAUUGUGCUUUC
rnacentral:sRNA from 1 species